ACAUUGUUUCACUGUUGUUGUUUUUUCAUAGUGCAGAUCUAAAUGUGUAAAAUUCCAUAAUGACAAAAUUUAAAUGGAUGAUAUAAACAUAAUAGAAUAUAAACUACCAUUCAAAAUUGAGGUAUAUUUUUAAAAUGUCUCUUAAAGUCUCUUAUGCUUCACACAAGCUGCAAUCAUUUGAUCAGAAAUACAUAAAAAUAGUAAUAUUGUAAAAUAUUAUAUAAAAUAACUGUUUAAUAUCUGAAUAUAUUUUCAAAAUAAUUUAUUCCUGAGAUGUAAAAUCUGAAUAUUCAACAUAAUUACUCCAGUCUUCAGUGUCACGUGAACCUUCAGAAAUCAUUCUAAUAUGCUGAUGUGCUGCUCAAGAAGAUUUAUUAUCAAUAGAGAUGUUCCGAUACCCUUUUUCCCUUCCUGAUACCGAUUCCGAUACCUAGGCUCAGGGUAUCGGCCGAUACCGAGUACUGAUCCGAUACCUGGGUGUGUAUCUGGUUAUACAGCUGUAUGUACUACUAGACCUGUAUGAAUAGAUACAAUUAUUUUAUGGUGUGCUUCACCAUAGAUAGAGAUAGAUAGAUAAUCUGGCGAGUAAACAAAAAAAUAUAAUAUAUAAUGUUUGGAAAAUGGCACAUCUAUUUAAAUAUCUAAAAGUACACUCUUAACAUCAGUCAGUCAAGCAUUAUAAAUGUAUUAUGAUAAUCGAGUAUUAUUUAAUGAUAUAACUUUAGCAAUUAGAAUUAAAACUUGGUAACCAUGAAUACAGUCAUUUUAACUGAACUGGUGGUGGUGCUUUUUUGGUCAUUCAGUGUUUCUCUAAAAAAUGGGGGGGGAAACUAUCAAUAAUACUGAUAAGAUAAUAAUCAUACUAUGAAUUCUACUAAGAACAAUAUAAAACGCACUAAGGAUUAACGAGCUGCUGGAUUCGUGAAUAUUAAUCACGUUGUCUGCGUUCGCUUGAACUGAUUUGCUGAAAUCAAACCAGGGACGAUUAUAGGUGAGCACCAGCCAAUGAGAUUAUCGCUUGCGCAUUAGCCCCGCCUACUACCGGAGAACACGGCAGUUCUUAAAAGUUGAAGAAUUCAAAAGGAACUCCGUUAUUCUUACAGGAAAAUACAACAAAGACUAUCGUUUACAUACCAAGCAGAAUUGACGCGCUACAUGUAAGACUCUCUCUCUCUCUCUCUUUGCGUGUGAGGAAAAAAGCAAAGCGACGGAGAGUCGUGCACUUCACACUAGAGCUUACGGUAACUCCGGGGUUCUUAUUGCUGCUGUUAGAACAGCCGUGUAUUACACAACACACCAUCGCGCUGUUUAAAAAAAAAUACAGCGAUAAUACCAUGGAUAAUACCGAAGCUGCCUCGCUUGUCAAUUGACAGACUGACAGUUGCCGUGGUUUCUAUGUCAACAACAUGGCCGCCGCGAACAUUGAUGACGUAGAUCGAAUAACAACUAUACAGAAAUUGGAGGGAAGCUGUCUAGUCUGCGUGCCCCCGACCUGUGCCCUGGUCCCAGAGGCCUUUCUGCAUCUCGCUCUGUCUGUGUCACGGGAUCUGGCUAAGGAGAUUUCACUCCACAAGAUGUUAACUGAUGGACUGAAGUCAUGUGGAAUACUUGUGGAUUAUUUUAAUCAGCUGUUUGGACUUUCAUUCUGACGGCACCCAUUCAAGUGAUGUAAUUCUACAUUUCUCCAAAUCUGGCCUAAGUAAAUUUUCAGGAAAUUUUUAUUUUCGGUGAACUGUUCCUUUAAGAGCACUGUAAUCUGAUAAGAAAACGUUUGAAAGCUUUAUUUUGGUCAAAAGACAAAUGGCAUUGUUGUUAAACAGACACAAGGAUCCUCUGCACCUGUUUUGCUUUCAUGUGUAGACAGGCUGGCAGUUACUUGUGACAUGGCGAUGAGAGUGUGUGUCCCAGUUGUGUGAUUAUGUUAAACAAUGUUUGUUCACUGUGUGCUUGUGAAGAACUCUAUAUAUUUGAAUGUUUGCAUGUGUGUUUGGGUAAUAUAUGCUCAUCUAACAAUUAUGCCAUUGUACAUAAGCAUCCAGUUUAUGUGUGUACCCACUUUAAGAAUGCUGUAUAUCUGGGAAUGUACAUUGUGUAUGACAUGGUGAAUGAUGUAUAUUUUACCACUGGGUCUUUGUGUAGUAACAAAGGUUGGUUUGUAGUCUGUCAGUACUCUGUAAUCCAUUCAGUGUAUAUAUCAGAGAAUGAAAACAGAGAAUGAACAUGCUUUGUUUAUGAUAUUUGUUAUGAUGAAUGUCUAAGUGUCUCUCCCACGUCAUAGCAUACAUACCAAAGCCAAGAAGGAGUUAAACAGACAACUGUAUCUUGCCUUGUGCAUGCAUGUGGUUCUGUCAACAAGCCAAACAAGCUUUACAUUCAGCAUGAGGCCUGGGUCAGUUAAAAGGUCAAAGUUCAGUUCAUGCUUAGGCAUCAUGAAUGUGUUUUCUGACAUUUCAAAAGAAUAUGGUUAUGGUACACGAACACAUGGUUCAAGCUAUAAAGAUAUUUAUCAUUCACUGUUAAUUCAUUGUGUUGUAUUUAUUAUGUUUUAGAUAUUUUUUCAACCAUAUUUUGUUAAUUAUGUACUGUAUAUACAUGCUACCUUUCAAAAGUUUGGGGUCGAUUUUUUUAUGUUUUGUAUCUUACAAAACUGUAAUAUUGUGAAAUAUUAUUACAAUUUAAAAUAACAUCAUAUAUUUUAUAUGUUAUAUAUUCCUGUGAUGGCAA